rnacentral:rRNA from 1 species
AGCGAACGCUGGCGGCAGGCUUAACACAUGCAAGUCGAGCGGGCACUUUCGGGUGUCAGCGGCGGACGGGUGAGUAACGCGUGGGAACGUGCCCUCUGGUUCGGAAUAACUCAGGGAAACUUGAGCUAAUACCGGAUACGCCCUUUUGGGGAAAGGCUUGCUGCCGGAGGAUCGGCCCGCGUCUGAUUAGCUAGUUGGUGAGGUAACGGCUCACCAAGGCGACGAUCAGUAGCUGGUCUGAGAGGAUGAUCAGCCACACUGGGACUGAGACACGGCCCAGACUCCUACGGGAGGCAGCAGUGGGGAAUAUUGGACAAUGGGCGCAAGCCUGAUCCAGCCAUGCCGGGUGAGUGAUGAAGGCCUUAGGGUUGUAAAGCUCUUUUAUCCGGGACGAUAAUGACGGUACCGGAGGAAUAAGCCCCGGCUAACUUCGUG